AAAAAGCCCAGUUACCUCUGGCCCCUGCAGUUUGGCUCAUCACCAGGAAACUUUUGCCUCCUUUGAGACCAAGACACCACUCCAGUAACAGCUCCAGGGACUGAGCCAAGGUGCCUGUGACCACCUAUAUGGGAAACUCUGGAAAACUCACCACUUUCCUAACAAUUCUGCCAGGGCCACAUCUCCCAGGAAGAUCUUGCCUCCCCACUGAAGCCCCUGGCCUGGCCUCCUGCAGUGCCACGCUCCGUGUAUUUGACAAGCUGAGUUGGACACUCCGUGUGGUAGAGUGUCAGUUUGUCAAAUACCCCAAGUGCGGCACAUGCCUAACAGCUCCAGGCCAGGACAGUUGGGAUACAACAAAUAAACUGCCAGCUGGAUACACAAUCACUUGCCAAACAUGAACUAAUCUGUCACAAGUUAUUUUCGGUGACUCUGAGGGAGCUGAAGCAUUGUAUCUGAGGUUGCCAGGGGAAAAGUGAGGCAACUCUUGAAGCUAUAGCCCUGUAUUGUUUCUAUAUUGGCAGAGCCUGAGGGGGGCAAAUGGUCUACCCUGAAAAGUAUAUAGGGCCCAGGGAUGGAAGUGCUCUUUGAUUCAUAUUUCCUUUCUUCACAUUCCGCUACAGAGUCUACCAGUAAGGACACCAGAAUUUUCACACAAGCUUCAUGACAGGGCUUAGAAACCCACUUUCCUGAUACUCAGCCUUGACAUCGAAAUGCAUUUUGACCUUAUCUAUAUUUCUUCUUCUUCAUGUCUUUUUUCCUCUGGUUAUACUUUCUCCAUUUUUUUUCCUGCUUAUUCAAUUAUUUCUCAUACUUCUGGUCCAGCCAAAAUCUAGUGUCUCCAAAGACUUGUGAAAGUUAACUUACACUUUUUUUCUUCUUCAUUUGAACACUCCUUGCCUUGGUCCUUAUAUGUACCCCUUUCUUCUCCUAUCACCUAAUAGCACCUCUUGAACUGUUAGUAAACUUUUCUAGGGGAUAUUUUUGAAUUCCCCACUAAAUUGUGAGGACAACACUAUGUUUCCUUGAUUGCUGUCUCUCCUUUCCAUCCCUACCCAAGCAGGCAGAUCAGUACUCUAGUUACAGAAAAUAAUAAAUGUUUACUGAUUGAUUGACUUUGUACUAGACCAUUAUCCUUGGUUUUGGAUCAAAAUGCCAUCCAGGAAUUUUGUGAAAAAAAUUAAACUGUGGUCAUCAUAAUGCUAUAGGAUAUGUGAGGGGUUUUCCUCCUGAGAAAUAGAGUCAGGGCUGGAGGAGGAAGGCAAAAAAAGUAGACUCAGAGGACAAAUAUGUUUUGGAAUUAUUUGGUAACUCAAAGUUGUACAGGUGCUUUAUUUCAGAACUUUCAGAGUCUUUAAUAUUCUAAUGUUGCAUUGGAAAUCUCCAAUAGGGAGCUAUAGAAUGAAACAUUUCUCAUGCCUAUCUAAUCGUGGAAUUUUUUUUCUGUAGGCCAUCUCUUGGACAAAACUUGGAAAACUGUCCUAGAGGGACUUUGUAUCUUCUCUCUCUUUUGGGAAUCUUUUUCAGUCUUCCAGCUUUCCCUGACUAGCCAUCUGCUUAAAACAAUUAUAUAUUAUCAUCCCAUGUUUAUUUAGCUUACCUUGCAGGUUUGGGCUAGCCCUAUACCCAGGACUCUCUUACUGGCUUGUCUUGUAUGGAAAAAAAAGUAUUAGUUUUUGGGCAAAGAUGAUAUCCAGAAGCUUUCUACUGCAAUGAAUAUGCUCCUAGGAGUUCACAGACCUGUUUUCUGAUCUCUGUUGUGUCAUUGACUUGAUGUGUGUGACUUUAGACUGUUACUGUUCCUCUCUAGGCUUUAUUUCCUCACCUGUAAUAAGGGAGAAUUAAAAUCAAUGAUCUCUAAGCUUUUUAAGACAAGAGACUCUGAAAUAUCCCUGGGAGUCCAUAGCUUCUAUGGGGGUAACAGGGGAGUGUUCCUGGGUUUGGGGCUCCUUUUAUUAAUGGACAUAUGGUUAGGAGUCUCUUCUUUUUUUUUUAAAUUAGGUUGUCUUUUUACUAGGAUUGCAAAUAGCUUCUAUGUUUUUUUUUUUAAAGAUUUUAUUUAUUUAUU